AAAGAAGAGAUGGAUGCUGCAGUGAUGCAGACAAGAGCAAGUAGCAAAGUGAAAAGGAAGGAAGGAAUGGGCCAAAAAUAAGGAAAGACAGGUCCCAAGCAAAUCUAAAACCCAGCAGGGCAGAGUGUCCAGAAUUAUCACUGGUACAGGAGCAUAUUUAUGUUAAUUUCUUAUUUUGGAUAUUCCUGAACAUUGAAGAUUUUGAAGCUAGUACAAAUUUGAACCACACACUUGUUCAUGAAACAGGCUCAGAGUACAAAUUCUUCAGGAACUCAAGCAGAGACAGGCUAUGAAAUGAUGAUGGCCAACCAUGGAUAGAAGCCAGUGGGGCUUUCUACUCUGCUUAAACUGUUCCCAUUCCAAUGUGCAAAACACUGCCCAAGAGUUUCCUUGUGGGAGACUGACAGACAGAAAAGAAGAAUGCAUUGUGUUCUCAGAGAACCCCAGAUAGGAAAAGAUUGGAGCUGCUGAGCUGAGAGCACUGAGAACUGAGAGUACUCAAUCUCUUAUGUCCUUUUGGAGGUACAGCAUGGGAGAAAUGGGGUCACCUGGUAGUAGGACUCCAGUUGCUCCCAUUGCG
rnacentral:lncRNA from 1 species